GAUGAACGCUGGCGGCGUGCCUAAUACAUGCCAGUAGAACGCUGAAGCUUGGUGCUUGCACCGAGCGGAUGAGUUGCGAACGGGUGAGUAACGCGUAGGUAACCUGCCUCUUAGCGGGGGAUAACUAUUGGAAACGAUAGCUAAUACCGCAUAAAAGUCGAUAUCGCAUGAUAUUGAUUUGAAAGGUGCAAAUGCAUCACUAAGAGAUGGACCUGCGUUGUAUUAGCUAGUUGGUGAGGUAACGGCUCACCAAGGCGACGAUACAUAGCCGACCUGAGAGGGUGAUCGGCCACACUGGGACUGAGACACGGCCCAGACUCCUACGGGAGGCAGCAGUAGGGAAUCUUCGGCAAUGGGGGCAACCCUGACCGAGCAACGCCGCGUGAGUGAAGAAGGUUUUCGGAUCGUAAAGCUCUGUUGUAAGAGAAGAACGAGUGUGAGAGUGGAAAGUUCACACUGUGACGGUAACUUACCAGAAAGGGACGGCUAACUACGU
rnacentral:rRNA from 1 species